rnacentral:rRNA from 1 species
UAAACGACUCUCGGCAACGGAUAUCUCGGCUCACGCAUCGAUGAAGAACGUAGCAAAAUGCGAUACUUGGUGUGAAUUGCAGAAUCCCGUGAACCAUCGAGUUUUUGAACGCAAGUUGCGCCCGAAGCCUUCUGGUUGAGGGUACGUCUGCCUGGGCGUCACG